ACCGGGCCACUCGUCUCUACGAGUACGUACAGAUUUGCUUCACUAGUUUUUUGCCGAGUUAUACAGUGAAUCAAUUCUGACUAUAGUGUUGUUAGCAUUAUAUAAUAAAGAUGCAACACGAAAUCACAUUGUUCGACGAUGAAGUAGCAAAUCUCGUUAAGAAACACCUAACCAGACCGGGUCAUCAAGGUUACAUAAAACUGGAUGGAAUUACUUUACCGGGGCAAUUCAGAAAAUUCGUCAAUACCAUAGACAACUUUGAAGUUCGCGAUGACGAUAUUUGGGUCUGCACCUUUCCACGGACGGGUACUACUUGGACGCAGGAAAUGGUUUGGUGCAUAGCUAACGACUCGAACUUUGAGAGAGCCAAAGUUCUUCUCAAUGACAGAUUUCCAUACUUGGAGAUAUCUGCUGUGAUUGGCGCUCCGAAACCAUUGGAUCAUGGUCCAAUCUCUGACAUUAAGGUGCCAGAACACGUGAUCGACAGUAUCGGAUAUUGUCAAAAAUUGCCCAGUCCCAGAUUCAUAAAGACACACCUUCCGUUCAGUUUACUUCCUCGGCAGCUUAAGAGAGGAGAAAAAAAUGCCAAGAUUGUAUACGUUUCCCGAAAUCCCAAGGACACGUGCAUUUCUUAUUUUCAUCACGCCAAAGUAUCCGAAGGGUUUAAAGGGAGCUUCGAGGAUUGGUGUGAUCUCUUUAUUAAAGACGCAGUUAUGUACGCACCUUUCUGGAAACACGUGCUUGGUUUCUGGAAGCAGAGAAUCAACGACAACUUCCUAUUCCUAAAGUAUGAGGACAUGAAAAGGGACUUGCCGUCGGUAAUAAAAAGAACCGCAAAAUUUCUCGGUAAGAACUUGACCACCGAUCAGGAGUCGGUUUUGAUCCAGCACCUGAGUUUCGAUAGCAUGAAAGUGAACCCAGCUGUGAACAACGAGGAAGUCAUAGCCGUUAUGCAGAAGUUAAAUCCGUCCGAAAAAAAAGGAGAGUUCAUAAGGCGCGGAACGACCGAACAGUGGAAAACCGAAAUGACACCUGAAAUCGUUCAGCAGUUUGACGAUUGGACUCGGGAAAAUUUGAGGGGUACUUAUUACUCCACUUCUGAAUAACAGGUCUCAGCUUGUUUAUUGGAUGAUGCGAUAAAGGAUAUUGAAUAAUAUAAGACAAGGGAUGUCAAUUCCUCGGCACAAGCGAUAGCUUAAAAGAGAAGACAACAAGAAACAUGUCAUAGUAAGUAUCUUUGUCAAAUUAUUUUAUCGUUAACCAAAUUUGUACCAAUAUCAAAAUAGCUAUAAAAAAUUUAACAUUUAUU